GUCCUUGUCCCUCUGACCUAUUACAAUAGUAAUAAAUAACCAUGGGUCUGAGUGGUUCAGUGUAAACAGUUCAGUAUAACUUCAGUAUAAACUUCAAUAUAAACGACUGACAGAAAUUAGUACUACUGCAGCUCAGAACUCCUGAACUCAAACAAUCUACCAGUCUCAGUCACCCCACCAGGAGAGGCUACAGCUUGGGUUCCACAGUGUCCUUGUGCAUGUAUUGAACCUGGAGGAGCUCCCUCAGACAGCUUCCUUGAGACGGUCUUAUGGUGACUUGGCCAGAAUUGGCAAGCUAUUGUCUACCAAAUUGUGAAACAUCUGGCCUGACUGAACAACAAACACAUAGCUACAGUCUCAGUUUGGCUUCCCAUGGACUGCUUUUCUAAUGACCUGUAUCAAUAGGUUCUUCGCUG
rnacentral:lncRNA from 1 species